UACGGAGGAUGCGAGCGUUAUCCGGAUUUAUUGGGUUUAAAGGGUGCGUAGGCGGGCUUUUAAGUCAUCGGUAAAAAUUCGGGGCUCAACCCCGUCCGGCCGCUGAAACUGGGGGCCUUGAGUGGGCGAGAAGAAGGCGGAAUGCGUGGUGUAGCGGUGAAAUGCAUAGAUAUCACGCAGAACCCCGAUUGCGAAGGCAGCCUUCCGGCGCCCUACUGACGCUGAGGCACGAAAGUGCGGGGAUCGAACAGG
rnacentral:rRNA from 1 species